rnacentral:miRNA from 1 species
AUCCGUCCCGUUUGCAUCCCUAUC